UACAGAGGGUGCGAGCGUUAAUCGGAAUUACUGGGCGUAAAGCGCGCGUAGGCGGCUUUUCAAGUCGGAUGUGAAAUCCCCCGGGCUUAACCUGGGAACUGCAUUCGAGACUGUCUAGCUAGAGUAUGGGAGAGGGAAGUGGAGUUUCAGGUGUAGCGGUGAAAUGCGUAGAUAUCUGAAGGAACAUCAGUGGCGAAAGCGACUUCCUGGACCAAUACUGACGCUCAUGUGCGAAAGCGUGGGGAGCAAACAGG
rnacentral:rRNA from 1 species